GAAGUUGUCCAUAUUGCAACCAAUUGAUAGAGUCAACGCAUUUGGUAUUUACCCAAAAGGUAUGAAGAUUGGUUGUGUGUAAGCAUGAGCUUUGACAGAAGGUUUUAUUCGUUGAGAGAUUAAUGCUUAAAGUCCAUGAAUGGGGAUAUGCAAUCUUUGGAGAAAAACGAGACAUGGUAUUUAGUGUCACCAAACAAAGAAUUUUUACAUUGGUUGUCGUUGGAUCUUCAAAGUUAAGAAGGAUGAUGAUGUGCAACUUCUUACCAAAAUUUAUUCACAGCGGAAGAGAUUGAGUAUGAUAAGAUUUUGCAUCGGAGACACGUUGAAACAUUUUAUUUUGCCUACUAUUGAUCUUCAAGAUUUGGAUUUAGAGUAAACUGAUACAAAGAUUGCCUUCUUCCAUAAUGGCUUUGAUGUGGAGCUUAAUGAAGGCUUUGUUUGAUAGUGAGCUGAUUGGGUCCAGUCAGCAAAUUUCGGCUGACUCGGUCCGGUCAGACCGUUUGAUAGAUCCCGAAAUUGACUGCCUCGGUCAGCAAGAGCUGACCCAGCUCCUUACUCGGUCCUGAAAAAAAUAUGAGCUGACUGAGACUUUUUCUUUGAUUGCCCUCCUUUACACAGACGCUGCUACAACCAGCACCAUCACUGAGGGCGCCCUUCUCAUUAUCCUAACAUGUGAUGCAGUUUCUUCUUCUCCUUCCCCAGACACAAUUUCUUCCAGCAGCUCCUCCCAACUCCGACCUACGCCCACCUCCGACCUGAGCUCCGACCUCCUUUUCGUGUUUUAGCUGUAGGUCACCAGAGGCUGUUGAGAAUCGGUGAUGUGAGUCUUGUACUAUAAACGUGAUGAUGUGCUCUACUCUUUUUAUGCAAAUUGUGAUCUUUUUUUAUUACAAUUUAGGUUAUGUAUUUUAUGAUAUUGAAUGGUUGUGAGAGAAGAGUAAUAAUAUUUUGUUUGAUAUGGCAUUUAAUUUUAAAAAGGAAGAUUGGUUUAUGUUUUCUUAUUGAUUUUGUGUACAUUAACUACAAACAAUGUUGUAAGUUGUUUUCUAAGCUUGUUGGUUUCGAGAUUAACAUUUAA